UGGGGAAUAUUGCACAAUGGGCGAAAGCCUGAUGCAGCAACGCCGCGUGAGUGAUGAAGGCCUUCGGGUUGUAAAGCUCUGUCUUUUGGGACGAUAAUGACGGUACCAAAGGAGGAAGCCACGGCUAACUACGUGCCAGCAGCCGCGGUAAUACGUAGGGGGCAAGCGUUGUCCGGAUUUACUGGGCGUAAAGGAUGCGUAGGCGGAUUUUUAAGUGAGAUGUGAAAACCCUAAGCUUAACUUGGGGACUGCAUUUCAUACUGGAAAUCUAGAGUGCGGGAGAGGAGAAUGGAAUUCCUAGUGUAGCGGUGAAAUGCGUAGAGAUUAGGAAGAACACCAGUGGCGAAGGCGAUUCUCUGGACCGUAACUGACGCUGAGGCAUGAAAGCGUGGGUAGCAAACAGGAUUAGAUACCCUGGUAGUCCACGCCGUAAACGAUGAGUACUAGGUGUAGGAGGUAUCGACCCCUUCUGUGCCGCAGUUAACACAAUAAGUACUCCGCCUGGGAAGUACGAUCGCAAGAUUAAAACUCAAAGGAAUUGACGGGGUCAUAGCUGUUUCC
rnacentral:rRNA from 1 species